GACGAACGCUGGCGGCGUGCUUAACACAUGCAAGUCGAACGGAAAGGCCCUGCUUGCAGGGUACUCGAGUGGCGAACGGGUGAGUAACACGUGGGUGAUCUGCCCUGCACUUCGGGAUAAGCCUGGGAAACUGGGUCUAAUACCGGAGAGGAGCCAUUCUUAGUGUGAUGGUUGGAAAGAUUUUUCGGUGUAGGAUGAGCUCGCGGCCUAUCAGCUUGUUGGUGGGGUAAUGGCCUACCAAGGCGGCGACGGGUAGCCGGCCUGGGAGGGUGGACGGCCACAAUGGGACUGGGAUACGGCCCAGACUCCUACGGGAGGCAGCAGUGGGGAAUAUUGCACAAUGGGCGCGAGCCUGAUGCAGCGACGCCGCGGGGGGGAUGACGGCCUUCGGGUUGGAAACUCCUUUCGCUAGGGAAGAAGCCUUUUGUGACGGUACCUAGAAAAGAAGCACCGGCUAACUACGUG
rnacentral:rRNA from 1 species